AAACGCUUUCAGAUGAGUAUUAUUUCUUUACUGUUUCUUUGUUUUCCCCCCUUCUUGGGGAUGAGAUUCUUCAGGUUUCGUGCUUUCUUGUUGCAUAAUCUUCUUCAAGUUCCCUGCUUUCUUGCUGCAUAUAACCGAUUUAUCUGUUAUUUGCAUUCAAUUAUGACUUAAAGCCAAAUUAUUUGUGAACUUGUCCCUGUGCAUGGGUUCUGUUUUAAGGGAGAUUUAGACAUUCUUUGUUUUAUGUUGAAGCACUUUGAAAAUCAAAAAAGAAAGACAAAAAGCAAUUGGAUGCCAGUUAUUUCUAUAGAAGUUAAAUGGCGUUAAAUUGAUCACCAGUUCUUUGCACAUGUUUAUAUCAUGCUUGAAACCUGCUCUGAUAAAGAAAAAAAAGAAAAAGAAAAAGAAGCCAGUAGAUGAUUGACUAGAUAUUUUGGCCUCAGAUAAUAUAGGUGAUUGAAUCACAAACUCCCAGUAGUUUGAAUACUAUUCCAUCUGUCCUUUGUGGCUUAUUUUAUCUGCUCGUAUCCCUAUUCAUUUGAUGGGUUAUGGGUCCUUUUUUUUGUAAGCCGCAAAGGGAUAGAAGAUAUAUGUCUAAACCAUAUGGAGUUUUUGAGUCACGCAACUAGAUUAUCCAGGGCAAAAAAUACUAGUGAAUACUUAUUGCUCACUUUUAGCACUUUGAUUAGUUUACUUUAGAUUUUCUGUUGCGUGGUCUGUUUACAUUGUUGAAUUAUGCAAUUUAUCUUUUCUUGCUUGUUUUUGCAUCAGCUGUCUUUGGUUAUGCAAGAAGUACUUAUUGAAAGACAUGUAGCUUAGUUUCAGUUAUGCUGCCUAGGCAUGUUCUGUAGUAAUUUGCCUAUUGAAUGAUGGUAUUCCUUUUUGUUAUAUUUUGGAUGAUACCUAACUGAUGUUGAUGCUUAGAUGGAAAUUCUCAAAAAAAAAAAACAAAGAAAGAAAAAGAAAACAGACUUGUCUCAGUUACUAAAGACUUAGAAUUGAUUGCUGAUAGUUUCUUUUGUUGUUGAAUGGCAAUAAAUUGUUGCUUUCCCUCAUUAGGCUUUGAUUUUUCGCUCGUGAGAAUGCACAUGACCCACUUUUGGUUUCUUUAUAUUCCAUCAGCCUUCAUUUUGAGCUACAGAGUUUGGUUCCUUUGCAGGCGUUUAGAGGACUGGUAAACAAGGAUGUUGCACUUUGGGAUCUGAUUGAAGGUCCAGAUGUGACACGAGGAACUGAGUGUCGCAUCUUUUGGAUUCUGUCUAAUUUAGAGAGGGGGAGAGAGAAAGGGCAGAAAGGUUCAUGUGAAGAGAAUUGCUUUCUUUUGCUGCGGUGGAGAAAGAUUUUUGAGGAGCAACGCUUUCAGAUGAGUAUUAUUUCUUUAGUGUUUCUUUUUCCCCCGUUCUUGUAGAUUAGAUUCUUUUGAGUUCUAUGCUUGCUUGCUGCAUAUAACUGAUUCAUCUGUUAUUUGAUAUCAAUUAUGACUUAAUCCCAAAUUAUUUGUGAAUAUUGUCCCUGUACAUGAGUUUGCACAUAGUAGCUGUAGACCACGAUUUAUGGAUUCUUGCUUCCUACUGAGUCCCGAUGGUGUAGAUUGCUGUUUUUUUAAUUUGUUUUACUCUGGUUUUUGCAUGUUAGAAGCUGAAGGUCUUAGGAAUUUUCGUAUGUGCCUCUUCAUUUUGUUCUGUUUUAAGGGAGAUCUAGACAAUCUUUGUUUUUGUUUUGAAGCACUUUGAAACUAAAAAAAAGAAAGACAAAAAUGAAUUGAUUACCAGUUAUUUCUAUAGAAGCUAAAUAGCAUAAAAUUGAUCACCAGUUAUUUGUACAUGUUUAUGUCAUGCUUCAAGGCUUUAGAGUACUUAUAUGGAAUUCUGUAUUCUAAUUUUUUUUAUUCUCUCAUUUGGGUUUUAAUAUCUGAUGAUAAAUGGCAUAAUUAGAAACAUCAAUUGAGCUUGAAAACUGCUUGCAUGUAUAUCAUGUUUCAUACUCUGAUAAAGAAUAAAAAAAGAAAAGAAGCCAGUAGAUGAUUGACUGGAUAUUUUGGCCUCAGAUAGUGUAGGUGAUUAAAUCACAAACUCCCGGUAGUUUGAAUACUAUUCCAUCUGCCCUUUAUGGCUUAUUUUAUCUACUCGUAUGCCUAUUCAUUUGAUGGGUUAUGGGUCUUUUUUUUUUUUGUAAGCUGCAAAGGGAUAGAAGGCAUAAGUUUAAACCACUUGGGAGUUUUUGAGUCAUGCAACUAGAGUAUCCUGGGCAAAAAAUAUUAGUGAAUGCUUAUUGCUUACUUUUAAAACAUUGAUUAGUUUACUUUAGAUUUUCUGUUGUGUGGUCUAUUUACGCUAUUGAAUUAUACAUUUUGUCUUUUCUUGCUUGUUUUUGCAGCAGCUGUCUUUGGUUAUGCUGGAAAUUCUUAUUGAAAGACGACAUGUUGCUUAGUUUCAGUUAUGCUGCCUAUGCAUCUUCUGUAUUACUUUGCCUAUUGAAUGAUGGUAUUCCUUUCUGUUAUAUUUUGGAUAAUACCUAACUGGUGUUAUCCUAUAUUUUGGUCCGAUUUUCCUUUUCACCUUUCUUCACUUUUUUUUUUCCUUUUCUUUUGGAGUCAUUACUCUGCUUGUGCUUCAGUUUUUUGGGUUACAUGUCUUUGGUAAAGCCCCCUUUAUAUAAGCGCCAUCCCUUUUUCCCUUUUAUGGCUUAUCUUAUCUUCUUGUAUUUUCUCGACUUGGGUAUGAGUAUUUUGCAGAAGACGCUCGGGAAUCAUUCUGGUUUUGAUGUUUUCUAUGGAGUUCUCUAUUGUGAUUUUCUAUUUGCUCAUUCUGGUUUUGAUGUUUGAUGACAGAUGGCAAUAGCAUGAUUCAAAAACAUAAAUUGAGCCUGUGAACUGCUUAUACA